CCGCAACCGAGGUCCCGCCCCGUGGACCUUACGCAGUCGUCUCCCACGCAAUCACUAGCCCAUGGAUACCAAACUUAUCACCCCGGCCGAGCCCCUGUGGAGCAGCAACAAGUCUUACCCAAAUGUGUUUCCUCACCAGAACUGUGAAUGGUCAAACUUUUAAACUCUUUCCUAUCUAAUAAGCCGACUGAUAUGUUAUUGAUGAGGGUCAUACCUGGAUAUAUGAAGCUGCAUCCCCCUUGCAGGUACCUGCCAGAAAUUCCAUCACGCCGAGCACCUCAUGAAAGAUUAAUGGGCUUCAGUGAAAGUUUUGACAGGAUGGUUCUGCUACCAGCAACCACACCUUCAGUGACGAGAACUCCUCACAGAGGAGGGGCAAGUGGCUAGCCCUCCUUCACAAGUAGCAGCAACUCUCAAAUAUUCCCUAGAAAAUUCUAGGGAAAGACACUAGGCAAUCAAAGUAAAUGCUGAAUUGUGUGUGUGUGUGUCUGUGUGUGCGCGUGUGUGUGUGUACACGUGUGUACACAGGCGUGGAUGGAAGUCCGUCUGCCAAGGUGGAAGGUGGAGGGUAGAGGAGCCAUUCAUGAACUUCCUCUCCAUCACGUGGUUAUACUUCCUGUUCAUUUACAUAGAGAUGCUAGGUUGUCACUGGGCUCCCCAGACUUUGGAAGGGCAUUUCACUUUUAGGGAAGAAGCCCUAAGCUACUGCUCUUUCUUCACAAGUCAACUCUUGCCUUUAGUGGAAAUGUCACAAAAUAUAUCCAUAUUUAAUAGACUAAAUAGUAGGGGCUGGUCAUCCAGUUUUGAAGAAUGACUUAUUAACCACAUUUCUGUUCUCUGCUGAGUACCUUAUUCUUUCAAAGCUUUUCAAGAAUACUCUAAGUUCUUAACAUGCUUUUAGUUUCAUACUAUCUCCAUUAUGGAAGCUUCUUCUGGUCACCUUUCCCAGGCUUGUCUUUGUCUUCUCUGGAGAAGAAACUCUGAUACUUCUAGUGAGCUCAGAUCAUCUCCACUCUUGUUUUAGCUUGUUGCUGCUGUUGCUGCUGCCUUUGACCAUAGGAUGGAUUCCUGUGCCAUUGCCAGGAAAACAUGUUAGUCACUCUCCUCUGAGUUAGGGCUUACACUGCUGGCAUUUAGUUGCAAACUGUAAUCGUCUGUGAUAUAUUUAGAUUUUGAACUCACAUUGCAUUUGAACAUUAACUACAUGUCAACACGAAAAUAAAUGGUCCCCCUCUGGUUAUGAAGCAAUGUAUGGGCAGGAUGCCACAUGAGCUUGUUCAUAGUAACACUGUUCAUAGUAACACUGAUUCUUAAUCAAAUUACAAAUAUUCACACUCCAAGCUCCAGAUUCCUCUUCAAUCAGGAAACAUGCAGAGUAAAUUAUUAUCACAGGCCCAAGGCCUUUAAAAAUCAUUUUCUUUGAGUCUUAGAGCAAGAAGCCGCUGUUCCUAUGGCACAAUAUCUCCCUGGGGGUCCCCUAAUGCUCAGGAACAGGACCAACCCCAACAGAGUUGGACUGAGCAGGUCAGAGUCACGUUUGUGCUCUCAGCAGACCAAUUUCACAGGUAGGACAUUGGGGUGGAGCUGGAAUGUCGUCGGCUACUAGAAGUGGGAGAAAACUGAGUUGAGUCUGUGGCUGGUUGAGGAGAGGCUUGAGCCAAUGGGUAAGGAGGUUGUGAGUCAGGCCAGGAAAAUGAUUGUUGAUUAAAGGAUCUAGAUAAAGGUGUUAAAUUUCCAUGAUCAUAUCAGCUUGUGUGGCUUUGAGAAAUCUGUGCAAAGUUCAUCCAGCAUUUUAAGAUUAUAAAGAGGGAAAGGACUGGGAUUGAUAAUGGCACUGUAAGACAUAAAAUAACUGUAAUCAAACCAAAUAAGGGCAAAAAAGUGGGGAUUUGGGGAAGGACUUCAGAAUGAGAUCAUGGUGCUACUAUGUAAGCAGUUUGAUAGAGUGAGGAAGGACCCUAAAAUUUCAGCCAAUUUGGACUUACAAGUAAAUUGUAAUGAUAGUUUUUAUAUCAAAAGAGUAUUAGGAUUAGAAAAAUACUUGAGGAAA